CACGUCGUCCGCAUCUAUACCUCAUGCGCAGCGAAGUCUGCACAUUCGCUGCUCCUGUUAACGUUAGUGACCGGUCGUCGGAACAUGCCUGUUCUCUUUGCUCUAUCGCUGAAGCUGUAGCUUCUUCUCAGUGAAUGAUGUUCGUUCGUUGGCUUUCCUGAAAAGGAUGUUGUGCGUCUCAAGCUCGAAUUACUUGUGAUUGAUGGCGCCCACUCAGCAGAAUCUAACGGUGCUUCAAAACCAUCUGUGCCUGAAUUUUCCUCAGUUUCGGGCAACGUGUCAAUUUGGGAAGUUCCGACCAAUUUCGGGCAAAGCUUGCACGAGUAAUCAAUGGAACGCGAUGACCUGAACGAAAGUUUUCGUGUUAGAGCAUUUCGUCCUUUUGGGUAAGAGAUUGUUUCGUUUGUGAAGGAAGUAAAACUUUGAGGCUUUUUUGGACUAUUGUUCAGUAUAUAAGACCUUUUUCGCAAUGGCUUUGCUGUCGAAGAUCCAUUGAAAGAAUAGCGGCGACGAAGUUUAGUCGAAGCAUUUUUGUAUACAGUGUGAAUUUGUGGAGUGUCCAGAAACGAAACGUGACGAGUUAACCCAGGUCUGGUUUUAGUUACGUUGCCCAACGCUUCGAUUUGUGGUUCAUUGCUAGAAUGAAUGGUCCUCAUGGGCGAAGUUGUGUUGUUUUCACUUUCCAUUGAGAAAGACUUAUUGAAAUAACUCGGAUGUAUACCGAAGAUCUGAAAAUCUUCCGUUGUUAUCCCAUUUUGCGUCAACGUCGCCAUCUCCUUGCAGCUGAAGAUGAGAUUGGUUGUUAGCGCUGGGUAGUACUUUUGUGCGUCCUGAAAACCUGGAACACUCUUCGCAACUUCUAUUAUCGAAGCUGGAGAGUUUGGUUCAGCGGCGCAUUUCUGCAGGUCCACGCACGAGACGUCUCCGAGUGAUGAAUCAUCAUAGAAGUUUUGCGAUGGAGUCGAGUGACACGAAUUCGAUGGAGGUAUUAAUGACACGCUCUCCAAACACUGUAACCACGCCGGCCAGAGCUGAACUGAGGCAACGAUGCUAUGGUCAUAGCGAGCAAACCAAAGACUGAGAGGAAGAACCAAAUAAAAAAUACAAGAAAUAAUCGAAGGAAGGCCAGGAAGAAAAGCCGGUGCCUGCGGGUUGGUAUCUUUCUACCUGCGCUCUCGUGGGAACGCGCCUCGCAGCCGGGCUCCUUCCUUCUUGAGCUGAGGAUGCGGAGCUUUUGAAAGAUGUUUUUGAGAGAGCGUGUCAUUGCGUUCCAUCAGCAAAAUAUACUUGGAAAAUAGCUUGAGAAUAUCGUCAAAUAAUACUAAAAAAGUCGUAUUAUAUCUUGGUCUAAUUCCGGUUGAAUUUUUCUUAACAUUUGAUAACUCAUGAGUGUGUGGAGCGUUUUUAAAAAUCAUUAAUUAGUUCAGCAUCUUCAAAAGCUACAUCAUAUG